rnacentral:tRNA from 1 species
GCCGGUGUAACCGAUGGUGGCAAUGCGGCUCCGGCUUUUAACCGGACUCAUGUCAGUUCGACUCUGACCACCGGCACCA